GACGAACGCUGGCGGCGUGCUUAACACAUGCAAGUCGAACGGAAAGGCCUCUUUCGGGGGGUACUCGAGUGGCGAACGGGUGAGUAACACGUGAGUAACCUGCCCUUGACUUUGGGAUAACUUCAGGAAACUGGGGCUAAUACCGGAUAGGAGCUCCUGCUGCAUGGUGGGGGUUGGAAAGUUUCGGCGGUUGGGGAUGGACUCGCGGCUUAUCAGCUUGUUGGUGGGGUAGUGGCUUACCAAGGCUUAGACGGGUAGCCGGCCUGAGAGGGUGACCGGCCACAUUGGGACUGAGAUACGGCCCAGACUCCUACGGGAGGCAGCAUUGGGGAAUAUUGCACAAUGGGUGGAAGCCUGAUGCAGCAACGCCGUGUGCGGGAUGACGGCCUUCGGGUUGUAAACCGCUUUCGCUCAUGACGAAGCUUUGUGUGACGGUAGUGGGUAAAGAAGCACCGGCUAACUACGUG
rnacentral:rRNA from 1 species